ensembl:lncRNA
UGCUGUCACUGUUCUCUGUGUAUCAAACUGAGAGAUAUGACAUCCUGCUGGAUCUGUACUCACAUGUGAAGGACUAUGAGACUCAAACAGGCAGGAGUGUCCUUUUGGCAUUACAGCCAGUUUACCAGUCAGCUCCUGCAGUCUGGUCCAUAGACCUCUCAGAGAGAAAGGCCUCCCUCCUCCUAGAAGUGCUGAAACUCCAACCAGAGAAGAAACCAGUAGAGCUGAAGGGCUGGUCAAAUGAAGAGAGUGAAGUGAGGAGUUUCCUUCAGUGUCUGUCCUACAUCUCACAGCUGAGGCUGAAUGUGGGUGUGGCAGUGAAACUGUCCAGACUGGUUAGGAGGACAGGGAGAGGUGCUACUCCACUGACUGUCCCAGAGCUCUCCCUGGUCCUACAGAGCAGCCAGCCACCAGAGAGAGUGUUAU